UUGCAGUAGUUGAUUGACUUUUACCUCAGGUGUGUAUUAUAUCAUUUGACAGGGACUGCAAGGCCCUCCAGGAGCUGUUGGACCCAGGGGACUGCCAGGAGAAGCUGGCUUACCAGGAGAUCCUGGGGUACCAGGAAACCCAGGAAUUAAAGGGGACAAGGGUGACCCUGGUGGAAUUAUGGGACCACCUGGACAUCCAGGUCCUAAAGGUGAUAUGGGGCCUCCUGGACCAAGUCUGCCUGGAACACCAGUAAGUCCAUAAUCUG
rnacentral:lncRNA from 1 species